AUUUUGGGAAUCCUAAUCAGCUACUUGUCAAAACGGCAUCCAUCCUAAAAGGUUUGAACAAUUUCUACUCGUGAGAUAAAAUCUUUGUAUGGCUGCAACCCAAUUUUUCAUACCUCAAUUUUCAAACUACCAUUAAUUUUUCGUCCUUUUUCAAAUGGCCGCUGAAGCUACAACUGCCAAAUUUCAAAACCCGGAUUUCCAACCCGACUUUAGACCGGAACUCUCUGUGACCUCCCACGAUGGUCUCCACUUUUGGCAGUUCAUGAUCGCCGGUUCAAUUGCCGGUUCGGUCGAACACAUGGCCAUGUUCCCGGUCGACACAAUCAAGACACAUAUGCAAGCCCUGAGGUCUUGUCCCAUCAAAUCGGUCAGUCUGCGGCAAGCCCUUAAAUCAAUAUUACAAACCGAGGGUCCAGCGGGGCUCUACCGUGGUAUUGCCGCGAUGGGUCUUGGCGCCGGCCCUGCGCACGCUGUUUAUUUCUCCGUCUACGAAGUUGCGAAGAAGUAUUUAUCCGCUGGGAACCCUAACAAUUCAGCGGCCCACGCGAUUUCUGGAGUUUUUGCGACGGUGGCGAGCGAUGCUGUUUUAACGCCAAUGGACAUGGUGAAACAGAGACUACAGUUGGGUAAUAGUACUUACAAAGGUGUUUGGGAUUGUGUUAAGAGAGUGUUGAGGGAGGAGGGUUUUGGCGCGUUUUACGCGUCGUAUAGGACCACGGUGUUGAUGAAUGCGCCGUUCACUGCGGUGCAUUUCGCGACUUAUGAAGCCACGAAGAGGGGUUUAGUGGAGAUUUCUCCGGAGAGUGUGAGUGAUGAGCGUUUGGUAGUUCAUGCUACUGCUGGAGCUGCGGCUGGAGCGCUGGCGGCAGCUGUUACCACGCCGCUUGACGUUGUUAAAACUCAAUUGCAGUGUCAGAGAAGAAUUGUGAACAAUCCAAUGCAAGCUACCGUCGUCAACACUGCCACCACAACCCUCUGCCACUCAUUUGAACAAACAAUCAAGCAAAGAAAUCCAGUUGAACACUCAAUCAAACAAAAAACCCUUCUCAAUAUUCAAGUAAAACAAAAGGACAGUUGAAAACUGGGCUACGUGUGAAUUCUUUCAAGGCAAGGGGCAACCUGAUUCGUCAUUUGUGGGAGAAGAGAAUUUCUUCAUAGAUGGACAAAGUGGGGGGCUGCUUUAAGGUCUAAUUGAAUAGUGAAGUGCAGAGGAUGCAUCGCGUUGACGACGAAAUGUGUCAAGGAGUUGAGAUGAAGUGAAAUGGGAGGAAGUUGAAAUAGAAGUGGCGGGUGUUUGUGGAUGCGACAGAUAUAAUAACACUUCAAUCAGUGGUGUUGUUCAAACAAUAG